UACGGGGGAUGCAAGCGUUAUCCGGAAUCAUUGGGCGUAAAGCGCCUGUAGGUGGUUUAAUAAGUCUGUUGUUAAAGCCUAGGGCUCAACCCUAGAAAAGCAAUGGAAACUACUAGACUAGAGUGUGGCAGGGGUAGAGGGAAUUUCUAGUGUAGCGGUGAAAUGCGUAGAUAUUAGAAAGAACACCGGUGGCGAAAGCGCUCUACUGGACCAUUACUGACACUCAGAGGCGAAAGCUAGGGUAGCAAAAGGGAUUAGAUACCCCUGUAGUCCUAGCCGUAAACGAUGGAUACUAGAUGUUGUUCUUAAUGCACAGUAUCGUAGCUAACGCGUUAAGUAUCCCGCCUGGGGAGUACGCUCGCAAGGGUG
rnacentral:rRNA from 1 species